CCUACGGGAGACAGCAGUGAGGAAUAUUGGUCAAUGGGCGCGAGCCUGAACCAGCCAAGUAGCGUGAAGGAUGACUGCCCUACGGGUUGUAAACUUCUUUUAUAAAGGAAUAAAGUGAGGUACGUGUCCCUUUUUGCAUGUACUUUAAGAAUCAGGAUCGGCUAACUCCGUGCCAGCAGCCGCGGUAAUACGGAGGGUCCGAGCGUUAUCCGGAUUUAAUGGGUUUAAAGGGUGCGUAGAUGGGUUGUUAAGUCAGUUGUGAAAGUUUGCGGCUCAACCGUAAAAUUGCAAUUGAUACUGGCAGCCUUGAGUACAGUUGAGGUAGGCGGAAUUCGUGGUGUAGCGGUGAAAUGCUUAGAUAUCACGAAGAACUCCGAUUGCGAAGGCAGCUUACUAGACUGCCACUGACGUUGAUGCUCGAAAGUGUGGGUAUCAAACAGGAUUAGAUACCCGAGUAGUC
rnacentral:rRNA from 1 species